GUUACUACUCUCUCAGACUUGGCUGGAUUUGUAACUCUCAUAUCUGUAAAUACUACAGCCAGCAGUGUGUUGGGUUAGCUUAGCAUAAAGACUGGAAACAGGGGGACGAUGUGCCAGACUCUGUCCAAAUGUAACAAAAUCUGCCCAACCAGCACCUCCAAAGCCAAACACAAUCGCCAGAAUAAACGUUCUGCUGUGAAGGGAGGAUUGUUCCCUGGAAAUGAAUCAGAGCUGAAAUGAAGGAUGUCAGAGGGAUCUUUGAAUAUAUCAAGCUGACGGUGCACACAGGUGAUGGACGUAGAAACCAACCCACCCUGACAGGAGAGUGGCAGCUGGAAUGGACUUUGAAACUGGAAUGAUGUCGGUGGUACAAUAUGAAAAUGCAUCUGGCAACACAGACAUGUUUGGUGAAAUGGUUCAGAGGUCUGGAACGUCGCUACUUUCUCGCUUCCUUCUGAAUCCACACACCAUCACUGGAGCAAAUCAAUAGAGCAGGAACGUCAUCCAUCUUUAAGACAAGCACUAACACAGGAAUGAGAGUAUGAUCUGGAAUACUGAGGAAGAAGAACUGUAAGACAUUCAAUUUGGAUACCCUUCAGCUAAAACAACAGGGUCACAAGAGCAUUUCACAACAUUGCUUUCAAAUGUGAUCUCUAUUACAUUGUGUCAGAUGCUAUAUUUAAAGGCAGGCAUUGUGUAAUUGUAAGUGGCAUUUUUUUUAGUUCACAAACAUGUUCUUUCUCUUCUAACUCUUUCACAAAAUAGUCCCACCCUCUCUUCAGUUUUCUCUACAAAUGUUAUUGUUUCCCAGAUGGUAUGCGUAGAAGGAGUUCUUGGCUGGUACUUGGAGUCUCCUCUACCGAUAAUGUAGGCUACUUACAAGUAUGAGUGUCAUCUGAGUACAGUGUCUCCAUAUCUGUAUUUACACUGAAGGGAAAUCUUCAUAGGGUAGCUGACUGAAGUUUAGUACAAACUCGAGUUGAUAAAACAACAAAUGUUCUGUAAACGGUUCUUUUACUCUCGUGAUCAAAGAUAGUGAUCUAAAGCGCGAUUCUAAGGCUGUUCUGUAAAUCAUGGUCAAAGGUUUUAGUUCAGUUGCCUUCAAUUUUUGAUGUUGAAAGCUUAUCCUCAUGUGCCAUGUUUUACUUUCCAAUUCCUGUCUUUGUCUGAUUUGCUGCCCUUUUUCAGUGUACACCUGUGUUUCAUUUGUUUAUUGACCAUUUUGAAGUCUUUUUGUUUCUGAGUCCUUGUUUACUCCUGAUUGGUUCCUCAUGACUUUAUGAUUUGUUAGGGUCCUUUUUUUCAUCAACAGGUGUAAGCAGAAAAGGGAGAGGAAAACAAAGACAAAGACAGGAAGUGGAAGGCGAUGAUAAACUUUCAACAUUAAACAGUAGAUCAACUGAUAUAUAACCUGGGAACAUGACACAGUUAAUAAAUAUAGCAACCCCAUAUAAUUUAAGGCUUAUAUAAUCUUAGCCAUGCCUGCUUUCUACGCAAGCACCACCCACUCCCAUUUCAAGCCCUGCUAACUCUGAGUAUGGAUGUUUGAACAGAUACAGAUAAUAGUGUACUCGCUCCUCCCUACUAUUUACUAUCAACACAGAGCAACAUUACCAAUAAUUUCAGGUUUUUUAUCCAAUAUCAAGCUUUCCUUUUAGCUCUAUUUUGGUCUCAACCAACUCCCAAAGGGACGCACUUGGCUGCUAAAUGCUCCACUACCUGUCUGUUGUGAUGUGGUGCUGUGCAGGUUGCACAGAACAAACAGCGAAACAAUGAGCUGAAAUUUGCUGAGGCUGCUGCCUUCUGGGAAAUGCAGGGUCAGGCAGUAAUUCUCCAUGGGGUCGCCCCUAUAUGAGCAGCUCCUUUCAUAGAGCUGAAGGCAGAGUCAUCUAUCACUUCUCAAGGCAGUCGGGGGAAGAGCGAGUCGGAGCUUUAGCGAGACCCGGCAGCUCCCAUUCCUCCCAGAUUUACUCCGACAGCCUCACACCUACACUCUGUUGAAAAAAAUAAUAAUCAUCAGUUCCUUCCAGCUGGAAACUGUCUCUCAAUCUGAUCAUUCUAUCUCUCUAGCUGCACCCUUCAUCCCUGGAUCUAUUCCCCGAUCUCUGCUCAGGGCUCGGUGGCACUGAAGUUGGAGCACACUGGUCGCACAGUGUAUCCUGGCUGUCACUCAGUUUGGACCAGAGAGUAAUGGAUGUCUGAAGGACCGAGGGGAACGACAACAGGGGACUGUGACUGAUGCACCUUUGUGUCCGGAGAACACUACAACUGAUUGGUUUCUGUGAUCUAGUGAGAAUGCAUCUACUGCCUCUGGCUGCAGUUGGAUACUUGUAUGUCCGAGCCAAUCAGGACUGACUGAUGGUUGCACAGUGCUGUGAUAAGUGAUAUAGAAGCUCAGUGAUGGCCUACUUACAGCUUACAUCUUUGUGUAUGUUGAAUAAUAACAGAAAUGAUUCAGAAGGUUGUUUUUUUUUAUAUAAGCAAGGACUUCAGUCGAAAUGGGAAAAGUUUAAGAUGGCAUUUUCUGCAUUUUAAGGCACGGCUAAGACAGCCAGCCACCGAUGCAUCAUCCUCUGAAGGCCAUUCAGAGAAAGGUUACUGUCCACCUCCGAAGACGAACGCCAGCGCUGGCCUUGAAGCCGCCCUGCAAAGAAUGAUGUGCACUCCUGAAAGUGUUUGUGUGUGUGUGAGACGGGAAGACAGACGGAGGUCAGAGAGAAAGCAAGAGCAUGUUUGAUAAUGUGAAGCAGUCUUUCACUGUGCAGCAACCCUUACAGCCGGCCACGUUUCUGACAUACUCA